rnacentral:rRNA from 1 species
UACAUAGGGUGCAAGCGUUGUCCGGAAUUAUUGGGCGUAAAGAGCUCGUAGGUGGUUCGUUACGUCGGAUGUGAAAAUCUGGGGCUCAACCCCAGACCUGCAUUCGAUACGGGCGAACUAGAGUGUGGUAGGGGAGACUGGAAUUCCUGGUGUAGCGGUGGAAUGCGCAGAUAUUAGGAGGAACAUUAAUGGCGAAGGCAGGUCUCUGGGUUAUUACUGACACUGAGGAGCGAAAGUGUGGGGAGCGAACAGG